UGCAUGUGUUUCGUGGUUGAUUACGGUUGACAGCUGUUCGACAAAAAUAUACUGGAGAACACAAUAACAAAGUAAAAAUUUAGAGAUUUUGUUAUUAUUUAAAACACGAUAAGAUGAGGUAAUAGUGGAUUGAGAAAUCGGAUUUUUAUUUCUCUUGAAAAGAAAGCGCACCUUUGCCGCUUCAAGGCGGGCUGUCGCAAGGGACUCUGUUUCAAUUAUUCUGUUCAGGAGUUCGUCUACUAAUUGAAUGUACGUUAAAGGGACCUUUUCAUCGGCAAAUUCAGAUGGAAAACGAGCUUUCCUUCCGAACACGAUUUCGUGGGGUGUUAAACCCGUGGAUUCAUGGACUUGGGUGUUAAAAGAAAAUAUUGCAUAUGGCAACCAUCGGUCCCAAUCGGAACGCUCGGCGUACGAACGUAAGUAUUCUACUAACGUAUGAUGGCUUCUUUCCAGGGAACCGAGGGAUUGCGGGUGAUAAGCGGUCGAACGAAUUUUGCGGAUCUUGAAUAAUUUUGCGAUAUUGUCCAUGAUGUUGCUCAUGAAUUGAGAACCUUGGUCUGUAUGGAUUGUUUCCGGACAACCGAAUAUACAGAUCAAUCCUUCGACUAAUGCUACAGCGAGGUGAGAGGAAUCUAUCUUCGAGAGUGGGACAGCGCCUGAGUAUUUACUCAGGUUAUCCUGCCAAGUCAACAUAUACGCGUUCCCGGAUUCUGUUGUAGACACGAGGAGGUGAUGACGGAGUUCUCUAUUAAUUCUCGACCUAAAGGAGUGGUAAGAAUGCCGUCGCAUGAAACGAAAUUUACAAUGUUAUCGUCACGCAUCCAUAACUUGUCUUUACUUAGUUGGAACAAAGGAGUUGUCCAUCAUCAUCUGAAAUUUCGUUUUUGUCAGUGUCCCGCCCCUUUUUUAACAUCGAUAAACAGUUUCCCCACAUCCCUAUCAAUUUUACCUUUUCGUUUUCAUUUAAAAUAUCGUCGUCUGUCUCGUC